ensembl:snRNA U6 U6 spliceosomal RNA
GUGCUUGCUACGGCUGCACAUAUGCUAAAAUUGGAUCGAUACAGAGAAGAUUAGCAUGGCCCCUGCGAAAGGAUGACAUGCAAAUCCGUGAAGCGUUCCAUAUUUUG